AGCUUUGCGCAGUGGCAGUAUCGUAGCCAAUGAGGUUUAUCCGAGGCGCGAUUAUUGCUAAUUGAAAGAACUAAACACACUUUCAAGUUCUCAGUACAGUAUGUUGCUUUAAAAAAAUUAAAAAGGGUAACUCU